AGUGAACGCUGGCGGUAGGCCUAACACAUGCAAGUCGAACGGCAGCACAGUAAGAGCUUGCUCUUACGGGUGGCGAGUGGCGGACGGGUGAGGAAUACAUCGGAAUCUACUUUUUCGUGGGGGAUAACGUAGGGAAACUUACGCUAAUACCGCAUACGACCUACGGGUGAAAGCAGGGGAUCGUCGGACCUUGCGCGAUUGAAUGAGCCGAUGUGGGAUUAGCUAGUUGGCGGGGUAAAGGCCCACCAAGGCGACGAUCCGCAGCUGGUCUGAGAGGAGGGUCGGCGACAUUGGAACUGAGCCACCGUCCAGACUCCUGCGGGAGGCAGCAGUGGGGAAUAUUGGACAAUGGGCGCAAGCCUGAUCCAGCCAUACCGCGUGGGUGAAGAAGGCCCUCGGGUUGUAAAGCCCUUUUGUUGGGAAAGAAACGCAGCAGGUUAAUACCCCGCUGUUCUGACGGUACCCAAAGAAUAAGCACCGGCUAACUUCGUG
rnacentral:rRNA from 1 species